rnacentral:rRNA from 1 species
AGCUUGCUCUUAUGAAGUUAGCGGCGGACGGGUGAGUAACACGUGGGUAACCUACCCAUAAGACUGGGAUAACUCCGGGAAACCGGGGCUAAUACCGGAUAAUAUUUUGAACUGCAUAGUUCGAAAUUGAAAGGCGGCUUCGGCUGUCACUUAUGGAUGGACCCGCGUCGCAUUAGCUAGUUGGUGAGGUAACGGCUCACCAAGGCAACGAUGCGUAGCCGACCUGAGAGGGUGAUCGGCCACACUGGGACUGAGACACGGCCCAGACUCCUACGGGAGGCAGCAGUAGGGAAUCUUCCGCAAUGGACGAAAGUCUGACGGAGCAACGCCGCGUGAGUGAUGAAGGCUUUCGGGUCGUAAAACUCUGUUGUUAGGGAAGAACAAGUGCUAGUUGAAUAAGCUGGCACCUUGACGGUACCUAACCAGAAAGCCACGGCUAACUACGUGCCAGCAGCCGCGGUAAUACGUAGGUGGCAAGCGUUAUCCGGAAUUAUUGGGCGUAAAGCGCGCGCAGGUGGUUUCUUAAGUCUGAUGUGAAAGCCCACGGCUCAACCGUGGAGGGUCAUUGGAAACUGGGAGACUUGAGUGCAGAAGAGGAAAGUGGAAUUCCAUGUGUAGCGGUGAAAUGCGUAGAGAUAUGGAGGAACACCAGUGGCGAAGGCGACUUUCUGGUCUGUAACUGACACUGAGGCGCGAAAGCGUGGGGAGCAAACAGGAUUAG